rnacentral:rRNA from 1 species
GAUGAACGCUGGCGGCGUGCCUAAUACAUGCAAGUCGAGCGAACAGACGGGGAGCUUGCUCCUCUGACGUUAGCGGCGGACGGGUGAGUAACACGUGGAUAACCUACCUAUAAGACUGGGAUAACUUCGGGAAACCGGAGCUAAUACCGGAUAAUAUAUUGAACCGCAUGGUUCAAUAGUGAAAGACGGUUUUGCUGUCACUUAUAGAUGGAUCCGCGCCGCAUUAGCUAGUUGGUAAGGUAACGGCUUACCAAGGCAACGAUGCGUAGCCGACCUGAGAGGGUGAUCGGCCACACUGGAACUGAGACACGGUCCAGACUCCUACGGGAGGCAGCAGUAGGGAAUCUUCCCCAAUGGGCGAAAGCCUGACGGAGCAACGCCGCGUGAGUGAUGAAGGUCUUCGGAUCGUAAAACUCUGUUAUUAGGGAAGAACAAAUGUGUAAGUAACUAUGCACGUCUUGACGGUACCUAAUCAGAAAGCCACGGCUAACUACGUG